GGGGAGGGACUCCGCGCGCAAGUCCGCGAGCGCAUAAAGGUUUUGUAUGCUUGUGCACUACUUAUUGAACAAUUGGACACAUCUGCAAAUUUAGGAACAUAUUGCCAGAAGUGAUGCAGUUAUUCGUUAGUCCUCGGUGGGAAAUGCGGAAUAAGAAAGAAAAGAACACUUUGGACGCCAGUGAGAUUCGGUCUAUCGUAGACGUAUGGCACUACACCCCACCUCUGGAUAUCGCAAAGGCUCGUCAGCACCUAGGCUACACCAGAUUUAGUGAAAAUUUCAGUGAGGCAGUCCUUGUGAACGGUUCAUGUCCUGAUACCUGGCGAUUCGCGGACCACUUAAUAAUUUGGACGGAUGUUUGUAUUAACAUCUGGACACGCGCAUCUCCCAUGCAAGCGCCUCUCGUCCCGAGCUGACUUACUGACCGAAGACUUUUGCAGCGAGCAGAAGAAAGCUACAAGCGAGUCUCUGGAGACAUUUGCAGCCUGCCCCGCCUGGAAAAGUCUCCACCAUUGUGUGAAGCUCCCGCCCCCCACUGCCGGUUAGAGGCGUACAUCUCGGCCGCUGACUUGGGCUCUCCAUCACAGCUUGGCACUGCUGACUGAUUCUCCUGUUUUACCCCAACGGAAAACUGGCUCUGCUCGGAGGUGGAGUUUAGCUUGUUUUUAUUCUUUGUUUCCUGAUAAUUUCAGCCAUGGUAAAAUUACAGUUAGCAUGGAUCAGUGUGGGAUGUGCAGAGGACAAAAGAACCUACAUUUAUUAUACGCAGUUAAUAUUAUAUAUUCUAUUUCAAUUUACUGAAAAAUAUUGUAUGGUGAUUAUUACUAUACACUGUAUUAAUACUAUAUUCCUUAAUUCCUUACUCUCUUGAAAUGUGUUAUAUAUAAGUACAGCGGGGCUGAAAAUGAGCAAGCAGAAUUAACAGAUACCAUUCUCCCCACAGUCACAUUUUAAAGGCUGAUCUGGCAAUUUAUCAAUGAUUUUUUUUUUCCCACUCCGCCACUGGCUUAAUUGGAAUAUUUUAAUUUCUGCAGAAAGUCGCCUGUCGUCCCUUUACUGCUUUGUAAGCCGUCUGUAUGUCACACAAAGAUGCCACAGCACGGAUGCUGAAGGACGCAAUAAAUAAAUUACAGAAAUGUAUUUACAGCCACGGGCACAUUUCUAUCUAGGAGAGCAGCUCACCAAAGACAAAUACUGUACCGGGAUGAAAAACUGCGCUCACUGCUUUGUGUCUCAGUCUACAAUGAGUCCUUAUGACACACAAUGCAUUCUGUUUUGAUGCACCCCCCGUGGGCCAGAAUUACACGAGGAAUUUUCCGAAGGGAGGGAGAAUCGCUGGCAAAAUAAACUGGAGUGUCUUGAGUCCCGUUGCGGUGGAUGUGGAGAGAGGAGCUACAACUGAAUGCUCGCGCUACACGUCGAGGGACACGCACGUGCUCGACUGUGAUGGAGAACAAGAGAGAUACAUAAUAAUAAAGAAAUGCUCUUAAGAACCAUGCUUUCGCUUUUUUGCCGGAUAUUUUCUAACUGUCACGGUGUUCUUAUACUAUAGUAUUUUCAUCUGUGCGUUUCAUGCUUGUGACACUAAUGGUUUUUGUGUAUGUAUGUAUCUCUGUCCCCUUUGGCAUGUAGAUUUGUAGGCCCCGGUGUGCGGAAGAGGCCCUUGCUUCCCUUUGGAGGAGGUCGUCUCCAGGGGAUCAGGAUCGGACUCCGGGGGCUAUAGCUUCUGGACCAGCUGAGACUCCCCUAAGGAAACAAGGACUGUGAGCAAAGGCGGCUGCUGCAGGAAGCUGCCGGUGACUCUGGGUCAGGUGACCCGAUGCUCACAGAAGUGGGAGGGGCAUCACCUCAAGCUGGGUUUCAAAAUCCUGAUACAAAAUAUGAGAGCCCUCAGCUCGUAAUGCUUUGUUUAUAAAACAAUGCCUACAGACACUUAGCAUUUCGCUUAUAAUAUUGCACAAAAGGAGACCAUAAUGUUGCCGGUGCGUGGGGGUUCUAUUUUUUAACCCAGAUUUGUCACCAUCAUGGUCUCUAGCAGUGAAAGUAUGCUAUUAAUUCCAUGUUUGUAUAGGAACAUUAUCCAAUAGCUCUAUUAUUUUAAAUAGCACCUGUCAAUUCUUCCUGUCUGAGUGGAAUUUAUGAAAGAAUACCAAAUAAAAACAGCUUCACAGUCAAGCAUCCAGCUUCAGUGACCUUUACCACCAGAAGACACUUUCUGUUUUCUGUGUCAGGACGUGUUCAGCGUCACGCUGUCUUGUAUCUCAGUGUUUCCCAAUCCGGUCCUCCCUCCCAGCUCGAGCUAAAAUGCAGACCGUCUGGCAAGGAGUUCAAAGGGAGCAAGAACACGGAGUGACUGCUGGUCCCUGACGACCGGAUUAGGAGACACUGCUGUAUCUGAAUCGAACCCUCAGCCAGCGCUCACUGCAUCCCGGGGCAGCUGGGGGGUUGGGGCUCAGGAUUAGCCCUCCGUCCGAGAUG